AAUAACGACACUGCGGUUUUAUUGACGUGGAUUUAAGCUGAUAUGGAAUGGACUUCUUAGUUGAAAAAGUGACCAGCAUUUGCAUGGAACCAGGGCAGGAUUAUGACAAGCAAGUGUGGGAGCUGUGUUGUGUAUACCAUGUGUUCGGUGAAAUGCCCAAAGACAUUGAGAAUCCUCCACUAGAAGUCUAGUCACAUGUUCUAUCAAGCUCUAUAGCUUUUGCUUUCUACAAGAAAACAUUUGGAAAAAAAAAAAAUAUAUAUUUUUAUAUUUGAUUUUUGACCACUUGAUUCUAGUUAAUAAUUUAACUUCUUGUAUUGUCUGGAAAGCAUUCCCCAC
rnacentral:lncRNA from 1 species